UACGUAGGGGGCGAGCGUUGUCCGGAGUACUGGGCGUAAAGCGCACGCAGGCGGUCUGUUAAGUUUGGAAGUUGACAGUUGGUGGCUUAACUGCCAAAGUGCUUCGAAAACUGACAGACUUGAGGGCUUACAGAGGGACACGGAAUUCCGGGGUUGGAGUGGUGAAAUGACGUAGAGAUCCGGAGGAACACCAAAGGCGAAGGCAGUGUCCUGGGGAGUACCUGACGCUCGAGGUGCGAAAGCCAGGGGAGCGAACGGG
rnacentral:rRNA from 1 species